rnacentral:rRNA from 1 species
AACGAACGCUGGCGGCAUGCCUAACACAUGCAAGUCGAACGAGACCUUCGGGUCUAGUGGCGCACGGGUGCGUAACGCGUGGGAACCUGCCCUUAGGUUCGGAAUAACUCCCCGAAAGGGGUGCUAAUACCGGAUAAUGUCUUCGGACCAAAGAUUUAUCGCCUUUGGAUGGGCCCGCGUGGGAUUAGCUAGUUGGUAGGGUAAAAGCCUACCAAGGCGACGAUCCAUAGCUGGUCUGAGAGGAUGAUCAGCCACACUGGGACUGAGACACGGCCCAGACUCCUACGCGAGGCAGCAGUGGGGAAUAUUGCACCAUGGGCGAAGGCCUGAUCCAGCUAUGCCGCGUGAGUGAUGAUGGCCUUAGGGUUGUAAAGCUCUUUUACCCGGGAUGAUAAUGACAGUACCGGGAGAAUAAGCUCCGGCUAACUCCGUG